GGACUGUCCAGUCCAACACUGGCUCCUCCACAUCUCAGAAAAAGGAAACAACCAUGUGGAUAGGCUCUGCAAGAUUUACAUUCGGUUUAUGUGAUUCUAGGAUCGAUGAUUCUCUCAUACAUUUAUUGCUGCUGAGAAUAUAAUUUUGGCUGAAGGCUGGAAGUAGUCCCCUACAAUUAAGCUAAGAGAACAUGAGGCAGGCAAGUAAGAGGAGAAAGAGAAACGGAAUUCUUGCUCAAAUUAAAGGACUGGACACAUCAAAUACAAGGAACAUGCUGGCCAUCUCUGCUAUACAAAGGUGGAAGGGUCUGAAUGGGUUAGUGCUGAAGAGUGUAUUACGUAUCACCCAAUAUGACAUAACAUGGAGUUGGAAAGAGUAACUGCUUCGAAUCUCAAAGGAGUAAGACCUGUCAUCAAAGUUUCUUUUUAUUAACUCAGUGGAUGUGGACUUCACUGGCUGUGCCAGCACUUACAGAUCAUUCCUAAUUGCCCUUGAAAUGUUGCUGAUGACCUUCCUCCUUAAACUGCUGUAGGAACAACAAUAAAUUUCCAAAUCAGAAUGGUGCGGCAGAGUUACUGAGACUAUGAAAUCUCCCUCAUUGUGUCUGUAAUUCUAUCCUGUCAUCCUGAUUUGGAAAUAUGUUCUUGUUUUUUUCAAUGUCACUUUGUCAAAAUCCUGGAACACUCUCCUGAACAGUAUCUUUGGUGCCCAGUUCAAGAAGGCAGAUCAUCACCACCAUCUUGACAACAAUUAGGUAUAGGCAAUAAUAGAUGGUAGUAAUGUCAAUCAUAUCAUAGAUAACUUCAUGAAUCUCCAGAAAUGUAACAAUGUGGGUUUAAAAUCAGAAUUCUAGGAGAUGGAGUUGUUCUUAGAAUUGCCACUGAAUGCUUGUCAAAUUCAUUACAGUCAGAAGACGACUCAACUCCAGAGAAAACCAUUCAGAUGGUGAGAAAACAUCCAGAAGCAAGAUGUGGAUAAUAUCCCGUUUUGCCUGGCAAAUGGCAAGUAAAUUUAUAGGCAAAAGUGAUGACUGCAGAUGCUAGAAGCCAGAGUCUAGAUUAGAGUGGUGCUAGAAAAGCACAGCAGGUCAGGCAGGAUCUGAGGAGAAGGAAAAUCGACGUUUCAGACGAAAUCCCUUCAUCAGGAAUUCUCUAAUUUAGAAAAUGGCAAAUAAAUUUAUGUCACACAAGUGCCAGGCAAUUACCAUCUUCAACAGUAGGGAAGCUAACCAUGACUCAUUAACAUUCAAUGGCAUUACUAUCACUGAAUUCCCCACUAUCUACCUCCUGAGGGUUAUAAUUGACCAGAAACUGAACAGGACUAGUCAUAAAAAUACUAUGGCUACAACAGCAGGUCAGAGGCUAGAAAUCCUACAGUGAGUAACUGAUUGAUCAAAGCCUUCCCACACCUAUAAGUCACAAGCCAAGAGUGUGGGGAGUGUAGCUCCAACAAAAUUCAAGAAGCUUGAUUCAGGACAAAAGCAUCCCACUAGGUUGGUAUAACAUCAACAAUAUUCACUUCCUCCACCACUGACACUGAGUAGUAGCAGUGUGCACUACCUACAAGAUGCACUGCAGACAUUCACCAAGAUUCCUUAAUCACCAUCUUCCAAAUCCAGAGUGACUGCUUUCUAGAAGCACAAGGGCAGCACAUGCAUAGACAGCACAUACAAGUACCCAUGCAAGACAUUCACCAUCAUGAUUGGAAAUAUAUUGCCAUUUCAUCAUUGCUGUUGUGUCAAAACACUGAAAGUUUUGCCCUAACAGCUUUGUUGUCUACCUACACUAAAUGAACUGCAAUGAUUCAAAAAGGUGGCUCACUACCAUCUUCACAAAGAUCAGAUCAAUUUAAGAUAUCUGGUCAGCAUGGAUGAGUUGGAU